UGGGGAAUAUUGGACAAUGGGCGCAAGCCUGAUCCAGCAAUGCCGCGUGUGUGAAGAAGGCCUUCGGGUUGUAAAGCACUUUUAUCAGGAGCGAAACGCUGUCGGCUAAUACCCGGCGGAACUGACGGUACCUGAGGAAUAAGCACCGGCUAACUUCGUGCCAGCAGCCGCGGUAAUACGAAGGGUGCAAGCGUUAAUCGGAAUUACUGGGCGUAAAGCGUGCGUAGGCGGUUUCUUAAGUCUGCUGUGAAAUCCCCGGGCUCAACCUGGGAAUGGCAGUGGAUACUGGGAGGCUAGAGUGUGUCAGAGGGUGGUGGAAUUCCCGGUGUGGCGGUGAAAUGCGUAGAGAUCGGGAGGAACAUCAGUGGCGAAGGCGGCCACCUGGGACAACACUGACGCUGAGGCACGAAAGCGUGGGGAGCAAACAGGAUUAGAUACCCUGGUAGUCCACGCCCUAAACGAUGCGAACUGGAUGUUGGUCUCAACUCGGAGAUCAGUGUCGAAGCUAACGCGUUAAGUUCGCCGCCUGGGGAGUACGGUCGCAAGACUGGAAACUCAAAUGAAUUGACGGGGUCAUAGCUGUUUCCUG
rnacentral:rRNA from 1 species